rnacentral:miRNA from 1 species
UGCCUUCUCUGAGCCACCCUAUUCA